ensembl:rRNA 5S_rRNA 5S ribosomal RNA
AUAUAAGCUAAGUCUACCCUGAAGGUGCCUGAUCUUAUCUGAUCUUAGAAGAUAAGCAGGGUCGGGCCUGCUUAGUAUUUGGAUGGGAGAAAUAUGUGCCAAAAUUAUAGC